CAGAGUGCGGAGCCGGGCUGGGCGUGUACAAAGUGGAGAACUCGGUCUGUCGUGCGGAGCUGGCCUUGUGGAGAUGCAGGGGGCAGGCUGCCGACAGUCUGUGGGAGGGUCUACUCGGUCUCUCUGACAGAAGCUACCCACAUCAAAGCUCUCUGUGGAGCUCUGUGCUGGCUCGAGUCUCCGCUCCACAUUCUGCAGAGACUUGCUCAAACAGCGCCUGUCCAGCACAGGCACCAUUAAAAGCCUACGUGCAGAAGACACGCAGGGAGCCUGUCCGAAUUGGCUCUGGGAAACAGCCAGGUGUGUUUCAUUCCAAAGAAAUAUCGGGAGUGGGAAGGACGUCAUCUAGAAGAAAGCCACUGGACCGCCUGUCAGUGUUGGCUAGCAACACUGCUCUGUUUGUUCUGGGAGUUGCUUCAGAGAAACGCGGAGGAUGAGACAAGAUGACACAGUAUCUCCCGAAGCAGCACCUCGCAUGCAGCUCCAAACCCAGGAGGGUAACCUUGACUAUAAGAAGCCCCUGUUGAGAUCGCUCGCUGUGAUUCUGCCCAUCAGAGACAAGUCCUUCACAAUGAAACCACAUCUGUCUCUUGAUGAAGCGUGGCAGCUAGCAGUUCCUCAGCCUUCCUGUGUCCCAGGAAUGGGCUAAGGUACUCUGCAGGUAUGAACCCUUGACAUCUGCUAUAUGAGGUGCAGGUUGGAGCACUGGCCUUACUUUACAGAUGGGACAGUAUCCUGUGCCGAUAGGCCGAGAAAUGGGUGGAGUGGGGCUCUGUUUCGAGGACUGCUCCCAGUCCUGAGGCUUCUGGCACUUUCCAGGCUACAAUACAGAACUGACCUCUGACCCCUGAAGCUCUUCUUAACACCACAGCAAGAGUUGGGCCCUCAGUGUGGAGGCUGCAGGGAACAGUUAAUCCCAUCACCCUGGGAGCCCUGACUCCGCUGCUGACAUGGCGGCUGUGCGACCUUUGCUCGCUGGCCUCCAACAACAAAAGACAUUAAAGUAGCAUUACUCCCCAUGGGCUGCUCUCAGGAAUAAUUAUGGCAAUGCAUGUCACAGGGAGUGAACACAAAUGGAGCUGCUGUCCAGUUCUGGGUCUCUCGAAAGUGACCCUGUCCUAAAGGCAAUUUCAUCUCAGGCAUAAAACGAUACUCGAAGCCCCGAUCCUUUACCAUUCACUAAUUUUAAGACAUAAAGACCGGAAGACUCUCACAUUGCCACUAUAAUUGUGUCAACACCCUGCACGGUGGCACUGCGAGAGACAGUGGGAACUUAGUUCUGGCUUCCUUAGUUUGAACUUUGCUCUAAAGAACUCACAUGUUUUGAUUUAGUUUUUUUUUUUUUUUUUUUUUUUUUGGCAGGCCAUGCAGGCCUGCUUAGAACAAGGUGACAAUAAGGUCAGAGUGGAAGCAGCUCACAACGCCUCCCUCUUCCAGGCAGCUGCCCUUGGGCCGUCAUCCAAGUUGGCAGCAAGAAACUUAACCCGGCCAAGUAAGAAAGUCAGGUGUGUGAGCACGCUCGACAAAGCCCGGCCGUCAUGGCCCAGUCUUCAGCAAAUGUUCCGAAGACUCAUGGCCUCCUGACCCAAUCUAUGUGGUGAACUCGGCAGAGCCGAGCCCAGAGGCAAGGCCACCACCCUCUCCUGCCUCCAGCCAAAUUCAGAGGUAUGCUGCCUUGUGUCAAGAAUGAGGCAAGGAUGAUGCUUCUGGAAACCAACCGAGGCAGAUGCUGGAGGUGGAAGAACUAAUUGAGGCAUUGGAUGGGGGCAGGGGACAGAAAAUGUGCCACUUGAGGAAGUGUCCCCUGAGCAACCGCUGGGCCUCAGACCUUUUUCUUUCUGUCUUACUCCAGAAAGCACGUUAGAGGGUUGGGCAGACACCAAUAUCUGACUGCCUGCUGGUCACUGAUCACAGACCCAGCAGGAAUCACAGAGAGGGGAGCUGGUGACAAAGGAUGGCUGGAAGUACACCACACAGAAAAGGGACAAUGUGAACGCUCUCAGUUAUGUUCCUAUCUUACAAACUAGACCUUGCUGCAAGAAAUCUCACAAGAUGGGGACAGUAUAUAAUGAUGAAAUGGUGAAAAUAGCAGAAAACAGCAAUUGCAACAUAAAUGAACCUAAAAUAGGCUCUCAAAAUACACGAUGUAAGAACUGGGCCUUCAUCUUCUUGUCCAUGGUCUAUGCUGCUGACGAAGACCAUGUCUAAGUCCAUGGUCCCACUGCACCUGGGAGCCAUGCUGUAUCAGUGGCUCACAUUAUCUCUAAAAGCCACACCACACAACCCAUGGUCUGUGUGCCACCUGAAGCCAUGUGGUCCUUGGCCUGUGCUGUCACUGAGGGUUAUAAUGGUGCCUGUGGCCUGUGCUAUCACUGAGGGCUGUGUUUAUGUCCGUGGUCUGUACUGCCACCAGAGACCAUGCUGAGGUCUGUGGCGCAUGCUGACACUGGAGACCACGUGGAUGUCUGCGGUCUGUGAUGUCACCAGAAACCAUUUGGAAGCCUGUGACCCGGGCUCCUGAUGACAAGGAAGGAAAAGGAAGCUUCUUUUGCUGUGCUGUCGAUGACUGCAGACUCACGGUUGAGAAAGAGGGACAAAGAAGUCUUCCAUAACAACCCCUACCUCCUCCACCCCUGCCCCACAGUAACAGCCUAGACAGAAAGCCAUUGAAGAGAACUCUUUAAAAUUGUGAUAGUGAUGCUGAAGCAUAGCUCUCCACAAUUGAUGGCUUCUGGAAGGGUUUUGGGUGGGAAGGACUCAGUUUUCUUUAAGGGGCUAGCCACUGGGAGUUUGGCCAUGCUCCAGUGAUUAUAUAGGCAACACAAA
rnacentral:lncRNA from 1 species